rnacentral:rRNA from 1 species
UACGGAGGGGGCUAGCGUUGUUCGGAAUUACUGGGCGUAAAGCGCACGUAGGCGGCCUGUUAAGUCGGGUGUGAAAGCCCUGGGCUCAACCCAGGAAGUGCACUCGAAACUGGCGGGCUUGAAUAUGGAAGAGGGUCGCGGAAUUCCCGGUGUAGAGGUGAAAUGCGUAGAUAUCGUGAGGAACACCAGAGGCGAAGGCGGUUACCUGGACAGUUACUGACGCUCAGGCACGAAAGCGUGGGGAGCAAAAGGG